ACGAACGCUGGCGGCGUGCCUAAUACCUGCAAGUUGAGCGCUGAAGGUUGGUACUUGUACCAACUGGAUGAGCAGCGAACGGGUGAGUAACGCGUGGGGAAUCUGCCUUUGAGCGGGGGACAACAUUUGGAAACGAAUGCUAAUACCGCAUAAAAACUUUAAACACAAGUUUUAAGUUUGAAAGAUGCAAUUGCAUCACUCAAAGAUGAUCCCGCGUUGUAUUAGCUAGUUGGUGAGGUAAAGGCUCACCAAGGCGAUGAUACAUAGCCGACCUGAGAGGGUGAUCGGCCACAUUGGGACUGAGACACGGCCCAAACGCCUACGGGAGGCAGCAGUAGGGAAUCGUCGGCAAUGGACGAAAGUCUGACCGAGCAACGCCGCGUGAGGGAAGAAGGUUUUCGGAUCGUAAAACUCUGUUGGUAGAGAAGAACGUUGGUGAGAGUGGAAAGCUCAUCAAGUGACGGUAACUACCCAGAAAGGGACGGCUAACUACGUG
rnacentral:rRNA from 1 species